rnacentral:rRNA from 1 species
AUGGAUGCCGCGGUGCACGUUCUCGUGUCCCCCUGGCCAAGGCAGGGACACAUCAACCCCAUGCUCCAUUUCGCCACGGCCCUCGUCGAUGCCGGCGUCCAAGUCACCUUCCUCCACACCGAGCACAACCUCCGCCGCCUUGCCCAGGCGCCUCUGCCACCUCGCCUACGCUUGCUUUCUAUCCCUGACGGCCUCCCAGACGACCACCCUCGCAGCAUCUUGGAGCUCUUGGAGUCCAUGUGCACGACCAGCAGCGCCGCGUACCAUGCCCUGCUCUUGUCCGCCGACGUGCCGGUGACAUGCGUUGUCGCCGAUGGCCCCAUGCCGUUCGCCAUCGACAUUGCCGAGGAGCUCGGCAUCCCCGCGCUCGCCUUUGCCACGCACAGCGCCUGCAGCUACCUGGCGCUCCUGUCCAUGCCCAAGCUCGGCGAGCUCGGCGAGAGCCCCUUCCCUGCGGACGACCCGGUGUGCGGCGUUCCAGGGAUGGAGGGCUUCCUCCGGCGCCGAGAUCUUCCUCGGGGACUCUACUGCGCUGAACAAGGCGACGGAGACCCCUGGAUGCUCAAGCUCGCCGAGGUCACCGCUCGUUCCAGCAAGGCAUGUGCGCUCAUACUCAACACCGCCGCGUCCAUGGAGCAGCCAGCGCUUGCCCACAUUGCGUCGCGCACAAGCAACGUGUUCGCCAUAGGCCCGCUGCAUGCCAGGUCAAGGUUCGCCGCAAGCCCAAGCCUGUGGAGAGAGGACGACGGGUGCAUGGCGUGGCUGGACAGCCAUGAGGACCGGUCCGUCGUGUACGUGAGCCUGGGGAGCCGCGCGGUGAUCACACACGAGCAGUUCACCGAGUUCCUCUCCAGCCUGGUAGCUACUGGGUACGCUUUCCUCUGGGCGCUUCGGCCGGACAAGGUCCAGAUGACCAGCUCCGCGCUCCUCCGAGAAGCUGUCGGGGCGGUGCAGGGCAGCAAGGCACGCGUCGUCGAGUGGGCUCCUCAGCGGACGUGCUGCGGCACCGGGCGGUGGGCUGCUUCCUGA